rnacentral:lncRNA from 1 species
CAAAAGAAGAUCUAGAAUGGCGAGUAUCUUUUUCAGUGGCUGAAAAACUUCUAAUUAAUACAUUUACUCACACCCAAUUAAUGUGCUAUGCUCUCUUGAAAAUAAUUUUGAAAGAUGUUAUAGCAAAUGAUUCUGAAUGUAAAAAUUUACUCUGUUCGUAUUUCCUUAAAACAAUUAUUUUCUGGAUAUCUGAAGAACUACCAUCAUCUGUAUGGAAGCCUGAUAAUCUUAUACAUUGUUUUAUGCGAUGUUUAAGCAGGUUAGUCUAUUGUGUCGAGCAUUCAGUUUGUUCACAUUACUUCAUUCCAGAAAACAACAUGUUCGAGAACAAAAUAGAGGGCCGUGCUCGUGAUGUACUUUUAAACAAAUUAAACACGUUACACAGCUAUGGUUGGCGAUGCAUUUUAUUUUCAGAUCAAAUAUCUAACUUUGAUGUAUCGAUGUGGA